UCAAAAUAUUCGCAAACUUUUUCAUACGGCUUUUCUCGACUUUUCACUUUGCGUGAGUGCUAAUAAGAAACAAACACAGAGAAAACAAAGAUCUACAAAUACUUAAAAACUUGAACUCUACCAACUCGAACUUAACUUAAAAGCUAUCAGUGUAUCGCUAUUUUGUAUCUUCUAACACUCAACAACAACAACAACAACAGCAACAACCACAAGAUAGCCAUAAUUACAAGUAACCACACAACAACGACAACAACAACAACAACUACAAAACGCAUUACCAACAUUUAAAGCGGCAAAGUUACAUAUAAUAAAAUAUAUAAAAAUAAAAAUAUUAAAGACAAAACACAAAUAUCUAAAAACACCGGCAAAAAAUCAACAACCUUUAACAAAGCAAAAAUAAUAAAAAAAAAAAAAACAGCACUUCAUCUACUCACGACUUUGACUCGACAUUUAAUUGUACAAGCAAGCAAAAGAUCAAAAAAUAUUAUUAUAAAUAACAACAACAAGAAUCAACUGGUAUUUUUCUGUGUCCAAAUCACACGCUUUCCCACACCAUUCCAAACAAAAUCCCAAAGAACCCCAACAAAACAGAAACAAAAACAGAGCCCAUUCAAAAAAAUUAAAAAUAAAAAUCAUUAGGCAUUACGGCACAAAAGGCAUCAAAUCCAAACAAAGUGGCAAAUUGUUGUUAAUUUUAAGU
rnacentral:sRNA from 1 species